rnacentral:rRNA from 1 species
ACGAGGGGGGCAAGCGUUGUUCGGAAUUAUUGGGCGUAAAGGGCGCGUAGGCGGUGCGGUAAGUCACCUGUGAAAUCUCCGGGCUUAACUCGGAGCCUGCAGGCGAAACUGCCGUGCUUGAGUGUGGGAGAGGUGCGUGGAAUUCCCGGUGUAGCGGUGAAAUGCGUAGAUAUCGGAAGGAACAUCAGUGGCGAAAGCGGCUUCCUGGACCAGCACCGACGUUCAGGCACGAAAGCGUGGGGAGCAAACAGGA